rnacentral:rRNA from 1 species
CAAGACUCCUACGGGAGGCAGCAGUGGGGAAUAUUGCACAAUGGGGGAAACCCUGAUGCAGCAACGCCGCGUGAGUGAGGAAGUAUUUCGGUAUGUAAAGCUCUAUCAGCAGGGAAUAGAAAAGAAGGUACCUGAAAAAGAAGCCCCGGCUAACUACGUGCCAGCAGCCGCGGUAAUACGUAGGGGGCAAGCGUUAUCCGGAUUUACUGGGUGUAAAGGGAGCGCAGACGGCAGCGCAAGCCAGGAGUGAAAGCCCGGGGCCCAACCCCGGGACUGCUCUUGGAACUGCGCGGCUGGAGUGCAGGAGGGGCAGGCGGAAUUCCUGGUGUAGCGGUGAAAUGCGUAGAUAUCAGGAGGAACACCGGUGGCGAAGGCGGCCUGCUGGACUGCGACUGACGUUGAGGCCCGAAAGCGUGGGGAGCAAACAGGAUUAGAUACCCCGGUAGC